rnacentral:rRNA from 1 species
UACGAGGGGUUCGAGCGUUGCUCGGAAUUAUUGGGCGUAAAGGGUAGGUAGGUGGUCUUAUUUGUCUGGGGUGAAAGCCUUGAGCUUAACUCAAGAAGUGCCCCCAGAAACGGUAAGACUAGAGUCUUGGAGAGGGUCGUGGAAUUCCCGGUGUAGCGGUGAAAUGCGUAGAGAUCGGGAGGAACACCAGAGGCGAAGGCGGCGACCUGGACAAGUACUGACACUCAACUACGAAAGCGUGGGGAGCAAACAGG